rnacentral:lncRNA from 1 species
GUGUGACCCACCUUGCUCUGAGAAGACCUCCACAGCUUCACUGCUCAGCCAGUGGAAUUGCAUGUCCGGCUGCUCAUAACAACAUGGCUUCACAGAGCUGCCAGAGGGGUCCAGAGAGUAUGCGCAUGGAACCCAAGGGGUGCAGCCCUGGCUCUUCACUAAAUGGCAACAGCCUAGGACCACCCAGGAAGUGUGGAGAGCUAAGCAAGCCGGUCCAAUCCAGCUUGGAGGGCUCAGGGUGGCAGAGUGGCUGAGUUUGUUAUUGUUGCUUCUGUGGUGCCUGCCCUCAUCAGGUAGAAUGCAGAUGGAAUGGGAAAGAAGAGGGAGAGGCCGUAGCUCCUGCCAUCCCCGGUGGGCUCCAAUGGGUUCCCACUUACUGUGGUUGUGGCUUCUUCACUCUGUCUGCACUGAGUGCUCUUGUACAUUUUGCAGAAUGCUGAGUGGUUGAGUAGUCAGGCUUUGAAGACCUACAGUGUGCCGUUUGCCUUAAUUGUAGACCUUUCGGUGCCUCGGUGCCUCACUACUUCACCCAUGAUGUGGGAACUAGGUGGAAAGUUGGAGAAAAAUUACCUUCAUGUCAUCUAGGCAUUUGUACUAACACUUUUUGCAGAGGCAGGAGGGACAGUUUCCAUCUAUGGGAACACUCUAAGGGACUUAGUUUUGUAGUCAGGGAAUCUAAGUUAAGAGUCUGGCUGUUUUAGCUCUAGGGUAGUUUUCUGUUCUGUCAUCAUGGCGACAGAGCUCUCUCUUGUAGCUUACAUACUAUUUGAAGUCUCCAAUCCCAUUCAGAAGGCUGCAACCUCAAGCUGUCAUCAUCUCCCAAAGUCCUUACUUCUAAACACUAGCCUCAACUUAUGAAUUUGGGAAGGACAGAGUUCCAUCCUCAGCACAUCACCAAACAUGUUCAUGGACUGAAAAUGUAACAUUCUUAUAAUAUGCCCAGAUUGAUCUACAGACUCGUAGGUGAGAACCUUGUAGACUUCUUUGCUGGGGGUAGGGGCAGUUCCAGCAGAGUCUUCUUUCAUGUUGUUUUUACUUGAGGCAGCAGAGGGGGAAGAGCAUCGGUGAAGGGUAAGACUUUAUCUUAAGAGAUAUUUAGGGCUGCUGUAUAAUAAUAAAAAAGUUUAAUUGUCAAAGUCUAAAAAACAAACAAACAAAUAAAAAGGCUGGGAUGUUGUG